GCCUUCGUGGUGUAGUGGUCAGCACGCUGGAUGCGUAUUUCAGAGGUCUGUGGUUCGAGUCCCGGCGAAGGCG
rnacentral:tRNA from 1 species